ACAAGUCAUUAACGCCCCUUGUCUGGUGUUCAUCCUGCCAGCACAGGGACCCCCAACCCUUGGAAGGUAAACAAGAUAAACUACAGAAAGCUGUACAGCAUAUACUGUCUCUUCUGGAAGAGAUGAAAACUGACGUGAAAGACGUGAAAAAUAGGCUUGCGCAGA